GGCCAGUUAGCUCAGAUGGUUACAGCGUGGUGCUAAUAAUGCCAUGUUCAUGGGUUCAAACCCCAUACUGGCCC